rfam:Vigna angularis cultivar Jingnong 6 chromosome 2, whole genome shotgun sequence.
AGCCGUGCACUGAAAACAUAGCGAACUAUUCUUUCGCCUUUUACUAAAGAAUACCGUGUUUUCAUUGCAUAAAGUGGCAUUCAUUAAUUUUUGGAAGAGAAUUCCAUAGGAAAAUCU